rnacentral:rRNA from 1 species
GAUGAACGCUAGCGAUAGGCCUAACACAUGCAAGUCGAGGGGCAGCACAUGAGGCAGCAAUGCUGAUGGUGGCGACCGGCGCACGGGUGAGUAACGCGUAUGCAACCUGCCUACAACAGGGGAAUAACCCGUUGAAAGACGGACUAAUACUCCAUAAAACAGGGGUCCCGCAUGGGAAUAUUUGUUAAAGAUUUAUUGGUAGAAGAUGGGCAUGCGUUCCAUUAGUUAGUUGGUGAGGUAACGGCUCACCAAGGCGACGAUGGAUAGGGGAACUGAGAGGUUUAUCCCCCACACUGGAACUGAGACACGGUCCAGACUCCUACGGGAGGCAGCAGUGAGGAAUAUUGGUCAAUGGAGGCAACUCUGAACCAGCCAAGUCGCGUGAAGGAUGAAGGUCUUAUGGAUUGUAAACUUCUUUUAUACAGGAAUAAAUUGAGUCACGUGUGGCUUUUUGCAUGUACUGUAUGAAUAAGGAUCGGCUAACUCCGUG